CCAAUUCCAUCUGGCCCCUGCAGGUUGGUUCAGCACUGGGGAAUCAGAGUCCCCUCCAUGACCAAGGCACCACUCCACUGACAGGGUCACAUCUCCCAGGAAGAUCUCACUUCCCCACAGAAGCUCUUGGCCUGGCCUCCUGCAGUGCCACGCUCCGUGUAUUUGACAAGCUGAGUUAGACACUCCGUGUGGUAGAGUGUCAGUUUGUCAAAUACCCCAAGUGCGGCACAUGCUUACCAGCUCCAGGCCAGGGCAGAUGGUAUAUGACGAAUGGACUGCCAGCUGGAUACAAGGAUGCUUACCAAGCACCAAGUUCUCACAAGUUAUUUUACGUGACUCUGCAGGAACUGAGGCAUUAUAUCUGAGGACACCAGGGGAAAAGUGUGGCAUCUCUGGGAAAUACAGCCCUGGGCUGUGUCUACACAUACCAUGAGAGUGCUGAUGGGGGCGCAAUAGUCUUGAAAAUGUAUAAAGCAUCCGGGAAUGGAAGUGCUCUUUGAUUCAUUAUUAUUUUCUUCCUUCAUAUUCGCCUCCCAGAGUCUCCUAUCUAGGACAUCAGAAUUCUCACACAAGCAUCAUGGCUUACCUGAGUAAGCAGGGCUUAGAAAUUCACUUUCUUGAUACUCAGUCUUGCCUUCUAAACACUCCUUGAUCUUGCCUACCUCUCCCCUUUUCCACAUGUCUUUUCCUCUAGGAACACUUUCUCCAUUUAUUCCUGCCUGUCCAAUUCUUCCGUAUAUUUCCUGGACCAGCUAAAGUCCAGUGUUUCCAGAGACUUUUGAAAGUCAACUUAACACUUUUUCCUUCUUUAUUCACAAAGCACUUCUUCCCUGUGCCCUGGUGUGUGCCCCUUUCUCUCCUACUGUCUAAUAGCACCUCUUGAACUGUCAGUGGACUUUUCUAGGGGUAUUCUUGAAUUCCCAACUAGAUUGUGAGCUUCUGGAAGACAAGGCUAUGUCUUUGAUUGUUGUCUCCCCUACCACAGCCCAGUACUUUAGUUACAGAAAAUAAUAAAUAUUUACUGAUUGAU